UACGUAGGGGGCAAGCGUUGUCCGGAUUUAUUGGGCGUAAAGAGCGUGUAGGCGGCCAUGUAGGUCCGUUGUGAAAACUCGAGGCUCAACCUCGAGACGUCGGCGGAAACCCUCUGGCUAGAGUCCGGAAGAGGAGAGUGGAAUUCCUGGUGUAGCGGUGAAAUGCGCAGAUAUCAGGAGGAAUACCGGUGGCGAAAGCGACUCUCUGGACGGCAACUGACGCUGAGGCACGAAAGCGUGGGGAGCAAACAGG
rnacentral:rRNA from 1 species